CUGCAUUAAGCAAUCUUCAAUUGGAUUUUGCAAAUGCUUAAUGAAACAUGUUUCCCUUUUAUGCAGAUAUGCAAUGGCAAGCCCUUCCGUGUGUUCCAAAGACAAUGCCUACGCCUAGCCACAGCAGCUCCCUCAUACAGACUCCGCAAGCCAAGAGGCCGUGGAGGCAAAUACAGGUAGCCAGCACACCUCGAACAGCCACCUUGACUGCGGGUGUGUCACCCUAGUUGCCAAGGAAACAUUUGAGGGAACGCGACAGGCAAUGUGAACAGCCACUUCUCCAUGUAAACGAUACUCUUUCUCUCGGAUGACUCCUACGCCUCGCCACGCCAGCACACUUGUGCACAUAGAUGCCGCGGAGGCACGUGCAGGUCAGAGGCAAGAAGCAGUGGCACUGAUGUCAACAUUCACCCAAUUUCUUUUUCUUACACUGCGGCAGCCAGCACACCUCGACCAGCCACCUUGACUGCGGGUGUGUCAGUAGAUUCCUGUUGUACAUAUGCUCAUAAUAAACUUCAGUAAACUUGAACUUGAUAAUAAACUUGAAGGCAAAUGGGA
rnacentral:lncRNA from 1 species